UGAAACUGUUAGCCAUGAGAUUAAACAGACACACACACACUUACUGCUUUAUUUCCAGUGGUGAGCAUGGUGUCUGAUUCAUUGUGAGUACUUGUUAAAUAUUGAUUGAAAAAAAAAAAAGGUAGACCAUGUCAUAGGAAUAGUGUAGAGGUCAUUGACUAUUAUGUCUUUAUUGCUUCUGGCAUAAAUCUCCUGAGUAGUUUGAUUUGGAACAUGGGGUUAGUACUAGAACGAAUAUCAAGAGAUAAGAUUGCUUUCCCUUGACUUUUGCCUUGAUGGUCUGGAAGCCAGGAGCCUAAUUUGCAACCAAACUAUAGUGUGAAUGUAAUUUUUACUCCAUGGCAUGAGAUGCUGUGGAUUGGAAGGGAGCAGAAAUGAAGCAAAGUCGGUUAGAUGGCUGUGGCUGCAGUCCAGGUAGAAAACACGGGACACCAUUAACAAUGGAAGUUCAAGGGAGGAGGGAGGCAGGGAGGGAAAGGCCAAGGAUAGCCUUUGGGCUCUUGUCAGUAACCAAAGAUGACAUCAUGCACCUGGGAAAGAGGUUCGGCAGAGGGUGGCAAGUUAACUUGGAUGGUAUAGACUGUGCGGUACUUGUGAGGCAUCUAUGUAGAAAUGCCUUCUAUAUGGUUGAUGAUGCAGAGUAAGGGUGGCUGAGGAAUGUAUGUGUGGGACUUCUCUCUUCAUGGGUUAUUCACUCAAACUGCAAGAGUUUGAGUGAAUAGAAGUCUUGGGGCGGUAGGAUGGUAAGAGGUAAAAUGAGGCCUGAGAUACAUCUCUUGAACUCUGUUCAAGACUUAAGUAUGAAGAAGAGCAAGAAAAGAAAGGUUUUUAGAAGGAAUGGAUGCUGAUUGUGUUUAAUCCCAGCACUCAGAGGUGGAGGCAGGCGGUUCUCUGAGUUUGAGGAUUGCUUGGUCUAAAUGUCAAGUUCCACAUCAGCCAAGGCUGUGAGAGUCACUUUUGGUGGAUGCAGAGAGAGCAGCUUUGGUGAAACACAGUGGGAGUUUGUGGGAAGGUGGUGUCAACAUCGUCAGGAGGG
rnacentral:lncRNA from 1 species